GAUGAACGCUAGCGGGAGGCCUAACACAUGCAAGCCGAGCGGUAUUGUUUCUUCGGAAAUGAGAGAGCGGCGUACGGGUGCGUAACACGUGUGCAACCUGCCUUUAUCUGGGGGAUAGCCUUUCGAAAGGAAGAUUAAUACUCCAUAAUAUAUUGGACGGCACCGUUUAAUAUUGAAAGCUCCGGCGGAUAGAGAUGGGCACGCGCAAGAUUAGCUAGUUGGUGAGGUAACGGCUCACCAAGGCGAUGAUCUUUAGGGGGCCUGAGAGGGUGAUCCCCCACACUGGUACUGAGACACGGACCAGACUCCUACGGGAGGCAGCAGUGAGGAAUAUUGGUCAAUGGGUGCAAGCCUGAACCAGCCAUCCCGCGUGAAGGACGACUGCCCUAUGGGUUGUAAACUUCUUUUGUAUAGGGAUAAACCUACCCUCGAGAGGGUAGCUGAAGGUACUAUACGAAUAAGCACCGGCUAACUCCGUG
rnacentral:rRNA from 1 species